CACAGGUAUCCGUUUGCAAGAUCAGUGACCCAAACAUUUCCUCAUUCAAAUGUCUGCACGCCAAGGAUUAUGACCACGCUGAAAUCAGGGACGCUGCCAUUGACGCUGCACAGAACCGUUCUAAUGAGGACAAAGUGCUCCCUAGUUGAGCCACAAUGGCUCCGCUCACUCUGACGAGAGCUAAAAUGGCUGAAUGGAAAUGAGAGGGGCAGAGGAGAGGUACGGCAAUGGGAUUCCAAAUGAAGACCUAUGGACGUACAAAAAAAAAAAAACCCAUCUGAAAUGAUGCUGAUUCUCAAAUACACAGAGCAAAUGACGAAAUAAACCGUCCUUUAAUUUGUAUUUUAUGGCUGCAAAACAGUCCACUUUGGGUCACUGUAUCUUUUCUGGAGCUUUUUGUCUUCCGCUCCUUGCUCCCUCACAGCAGUGCGAGUGAGCGAUGGAGAAAUCAUAGAGCCAUCAAAGCUCACCGGCUAGAGGAAAUCUCUUCAUUUGCAGCCUGCAAGCUUGACACCUGAGCUCCAGGCUCCUGUAUGUUGUACUCCCUGCGCUUGCCCGUACGUGUGUGUUUGUGUGUGCGUGAGAGACUGAUAGUCAGAUAUCCCAGCUUCCCAGCAGGUCUGUCGUUAAAUUGUCCGUGUGUUUUACAAGUGUGUGUGUGUGUGUGUGUGAGGCACUUGAGGGCUGUGGACCUGUGCCCCAUCCAUCAGUGUUAAGAUGGCAUAUUACUGUUAAUGAAUGAUAUUUGUGUUCAGCGUGUAUGUCAGAAGGGAGGACCAGCGUAGCAAAACAAGCCCUCCCCAAUCACCUCUCCUCCAGCCUUCUCAUUUUCUUUGUCAUUUGCACCCCUGUUUUGCAUUUCGGGAAGUUAUUCCAGCUGAGACGCAAAUGGAAUUUGGGCAUUAAAACUACUAUUUUCUUUUUACUCUCAUGUUAGGAACAUAAAU